rnacentral:rRNA from 1 species
GACGAACGCUGGCGGCGUGCUUAACACAUGCAAGUGGAGCGACGAACCAGGCUUCGGCCUGGGGCAAAGCCGCGAACGGGUGAGUAACACGUGGGUAACCUGCCCUGAUGACCGGGACAACCCGAGGAAACUCGGGCUAAUACCGGAUGUGCUCCCACCACACCAGUGGUGUGAGUAAAGGUAGCUUCGGCCUCCGCAUCGGGAUGGGCCCGCGGCGCAUUAGCUUGUUGGUGGGGUAAAGGCCUACCAAGGCAACGAUGCGUAGCUGGUCUGAGAGGACGAUCAGCCACACUGGGACUGAGACACGGCCCAGACUCCUACGGGAGGCAGCAGUGGGGAAUCUUGCGCAAUGCGCGAAAGCGUGACGCAG